GAUGAACGCUGGCGGCGUGCCUAACACAUGCAAGUCGAGCGAAUAGACGAGGAUUUUGCUUCUCUGACGUUAGCGGCGGACGGGUGAUUCACACGUGUAUAACCUACCUUUAAGACUGGGAUAACUUCGCGAGACCGGAUCCAACACCGGUCAAUAUAUUGAACCGCAGGGAUCAUUAGUGAAAGCCGGAUCUGCUGUCACUUAUACAUGGUUCCAGGCCGCAUUAGCUAGUUGGUACGGUAACGGCUUACCAAGGCGACGAUGCGUAGCCGACCUGAGAGGGUGAUCAGCCACACUGGAACUGAGACACGGUCCAGACUCCUACGGGAGGCAGCAGUAGGGAAUCUUCGGCAAUGGGCGAAAGCCUGACGGAGCCACGCCGCGUGAGUGAUGAAGGUCUUCGGAUCGUAAAGCUCUGUUAUUUGGGAAGAACAGAUGUAUGAGUAACUCUGCACGUCUUGACGGUACCAAAACAGUAAGCAACGGCUAACUACGUG
rnacentral:rRNA from 1 species